rnacentral:lncRNA from 1 species
AUGGCGGGGCCCCAGGUGAGGCCGGGGCUCCUGGGCUUCCCAGUCUGGCCUCUAGUCCUUUGCCUUCCCUUUCUUGGCUUUGGCCUUGGCUUUGGUCUUGGGGGUGCAGGGCUUGGUCACGCGGAUGGUCUCCUGGCACUGGGCAUUGUACCGAGCCUUCUUCAGGGUGCCUUGGCGGGCUUUGCUGCUGGGGGUGCAGGGGCCCCAGGUCCACUCGGCGCACUUGCUGCCCGGGCCGCCCUUCACCUUGUCUUUCUUUUUGGCCACCGCGGAGGUGAGCGCCAGCAGGGUGAGAAGGGUGAGGAGGAGGACGCCUCGGUGCUGCAUCUCCCUCCCGCGCCGGGCCCGUCCCGCUCAUCAGCAUUCUUAAUCUUCCUCGUUUUCUCUCUUUUUCUUCUCUCUUUCCCUGUCUUCAUGCAGACCAUAAAUAAUAGAAAAGUUGGCUGUAAUUCUAAAAAUGAGAGAUCCCAUUGGAGUUAAAUAUUGAUAUUUGAGAACUCUGUGUCUUAUAAAACCAGAACGUCUGAGGGUCAAUUUUACAUAAACAUGGAGAUUGUAUAUAUUUAUAUCUAGCACAGCCUACUGUGGCAUUACACAGGUCCACAAGUUGCCCAACAGAGACCAUUAAUAGAAGGUUGUUGGGAUGGUGCAAAUUCACCAUCUAUCAGACCAGAUGAUGGUGAAAACAAGAUUGAGGUAUUGAGAAACUUGAGAUGGUUCUGAACUAAUCCAUAGGCAUGAUGUACUGAUAGAAAUGACUAUCAAAAAUAUUCCCACAAGGGUGGGCAUUUGGUACAGCAGCAGCAGUCUCUGCUGGGGACACCAGCACCCCUUUGUGGGGUGCCUGGUUUGAGUCCAGCUCCUCCACUUCCAGUCCAGCUCCCUGCUAAUGCACACCUUAGAAGGCAGCAGAUGAUGCUUCAUGUACUGGGUCCCUGCCAACCAUGUCGGGGACCCAGAUUGAGUUUCAGGAUCCUGGCUCCAUUCUGGCCCAGCUCUGGAGGAGGGAACCAGUAUAUAAAAAAUCUUUACGUCUCUGUGUGUGUGUCUCUCUGCCUUUCAAACAAAAAAUGGAAAUUAAAAGAAAUAUUGCUUCUAAAAUAUAAAAUGAUGAGAAUCCUCAAAACAGUAAAAAGGAAAUGACUAGUAUGAAGUACAAGAGAAGCAAAUGCAAAUAUUCAAUUCUGAUUCUGAUACCUUUGUAUUACUGUUAUCCUGUCCCAAACCUCUCCUAUUCCUAAAGUGGCUCUAUAAACCUUAGGCUGAGAUAACCAUUACUAUAAUUGCCUUGGGCAUUACUAUAAAUAAUACUCUUUGCAAAAAGUAGGAAAUUAUUCAAGGAAUUAUGUGUUCAAGAUGAGACUUGUGACCUUCCCAUUAGACAACAGACUCUCAUUCAGCCUUCUUUGUAGACCUGCUACACGCCUUCAUUGUCUGUGGGUGCUGCAACUACAUCUAAUGACUGUCAGUUUAAUGAAAUCAUCAGUACUUGCAUCAGGAAUAGGAGCUCAACCACAGCUACUCUAGAAGUGAAGGUGGGGAAAAAGGAAGUGGUUUUGAAUGUCCAGAAAUCAGCAGAGUUUUUAUUUAACAGCUAUGUUGUAUGCAAGGCCAUGUAAUAGACACUUGGUAGAACAAUAAAGGGAGUCCGAUAGAGACUAGAGCCA